CCUACAAUUAGAACAUUUCCAGCUCAAGCUUUCAAUUAGAAACCCAGUUCUGGUAUUAACCAGCAAAACGUCAAACGAGAAGACAAAAGUUACACUGAUUUCUCUUUCCAAACCUUUCAAUCAUCAACCAACACAAAUCAGACUGUGAGCAGCAACAAGCAUGGAGCUUCAAAGAGUAUGUAAAGGAAGACGGUUUUUCCUCAAGGAAGAACAUGGUGAAAUCAAAAUACAACCAGAUGCAGAACUUUUCCCAAUGGCGUGCCACAUAAGCACGAAGUCAUAGAUGACAUCAUAGAUGAUGAUUCUCCAGCGAAAAACAGCCGGUAAACAAAACCAUGUUACUGGUAGUGGUGGUGAUGCUGUUGUUGGGGACAAAAUGAAGUCAUUUGGUGCUGACUUUAUGGCAACAACUGGAACAUCGAAUGAGGAAAGUAAACUGGAUUCUGAAUUGCGUCGAAAGCGAAAGGGAAAACCAUUCUCGAAGAAGGCAAAGAAGCAUUCAAAGAAAGAGUUAAAGAAGGCGAACUAGAAGGUAACGAAGACGACUGGUCCGCCAUUGAAGCAAUUGAUCGAACAGAUUCUUGACAUUGAGUAAUCUUCUUAUUAGGUCGUUGCGACAUGGAAGCUUCACCAAAAAUCGGCUUCCAUUAUCGCUUCUUGAACCCAAAAUAAAGCUCGUUCCCUUUCUCAA